rnacentral:rRNA from 1 species
ACCAACAGGGAUUGCCUCAGUAACGGCGAGUGAAGCGGCAAAAGCUCAAAUUUGAAAUCUGGUACCUUUGGUGCCCGAGUUGUAAUUUGAAGAUAGUUUUCUGGUGCUGGCCCUUGUCUAUGUUCCUUGGAACAGGACGUCACAGAGGGUGAGAAUCCCGUCUGGCGGGGUGUCCAGUGCUUUGUAGAUUUCUAUCGACGAGUCGAGUUGUUUGGGAAUGCAGCUCUAAGUGGGUGGUAAAUUCCAUCUAAAGCUAAAUAUUGGCGAGAGACCGAUAGCGAACAAGUACAGUGAUGGAAAGAUGAAAAGAACUUUGAAAAGAGAGUGAAAAAGUACGUGAAAUUGUUGAAAGGGAAGGGUAUUAGAUCAGACUUGGUGUUUUGUGAUUAUCUUCCCUUCUUGGGUUGUGCACUCGCAUUUCACUGGGCCAGCAUCGGUUCGGGUGGUAAGAUAAUGACAUUGGAACGUGGCACUACCUUCGGGUGGUGUGUUAUAGCCCUUGUUGAUGUUGCCUACCUGGACCGAGGACUGCGGCUUUUGCCUAGGAUGCUGGCGUAAUGAUCUAACACCGC